rnacentral:rRNA from 1 species
UACGUAGGGACCAAGCGUUGUUCGGAUUUACUGGGCGUAAAGGGCGCGUAGGCGGCGCGGUAAGUCACUUGUGAAAUCUCUGAGCUUAACUCAGAACGGCCAAGUGAUACUGCAGUGCUAGAGUGUGGAAGGGGCAAUCGGAAUUCUUGGUGUAGCGGUGAAAUGCGUAGAUAUCAAGAGGAACACCUGAGGUGAAGACGGGUUGCUGGGCCAACACUGACGCUGAUGCGCGAAAGCCAGGGGAGCAAACAGG